UAAUAUAGUGAUUCAACAGUUCUAUACGUUACUCCGUGUUCAACAUGCUAAGAAAAAUUAAGAUAUGAGCACUGAGGAUGUAGUGAAAUGUCAAUUACAUCAGCUGGGAAGUUUCUCCCAAGAACAGGGCUGCUCACUCAUUUGGCAAGACCAUCAGAAGCUGAAAACAGACAUAACCUCAAUGUAUACUGGAAAACAUGGAGAGGUUUGGCUCGUUAUUGGCAAAGAGAAAAAAAAAAAAAUAACAUCAGCCUUAAAGAGAAGCAGAGUCCAAGAGAAUGACUGAGUCAAGGUAAUGGUGGAGUAGAGGGUGUCAGCAUGGUGAGAACUCAGUCCCAGGAAGCCAUGUACACGCAAGGGCCCGUUUCUUCCCCACCCAUUGCCUACCAGUCCAAAGCUACUUGAGUUCUGGGAAUGGCCACACUGUGCGAGCAACAGUGACACUGGCAGGAACACAUUCCAUUUGUCUUAUUUGGUUAAGCAUCUGCCAGCCCCAGAUCAGAUUUGCCUGGGUCAGCACCUUCAAGUGACACACAGGUCCCUCUGGCUUACUUGCCUGCAUAUUUGACAACUCAGCUUUCCACAAGACUGCCUCCCCAAAGCCUGGCCCAACCCUUUCAGUCUAGAGCAGGCACCUCACACGUUGGUGCUACCAUGGGUUACCUGGGCCCUGUACUAGGAACAGAGAGUUGCCAUGGGCACCAGAUCAUGCCACGGUGAUCUUGAGGCCAUGCCGACACGGAUUUCUUUUUGGGAUUUCAGUCUGAGGAGGAAUGCAAAGGAAGAAUGUAAGACAUAAACUCAUAGCAAAGCAGGAGAACAGAGAGGCGAGGGGCAGUAGAGUGAGUUACCAUAUGAGGGGGUCAGAAUGAGUGGAUCUCUGUCAAAACAAAGUGUUGAUCAAAAUGCAUAUUUGUAGGUCUUAUCUCUUUGUGCACUAAGAUAAAUUUUAUCAGUUUUAUCUUAAGAAUAUUAUUUCAAUCUAAAUUUUGAAGCCUUUUGGGGUUUCCAAAAUGAGUUGUUUCCUCUGAAGAUGGCUGUACUUGAUUCAAGAUGUCACUGAAAUGGAUACUAAGAGGCAUCAAUGGUCAUGGCCAUGAGUUUUUCUUUUGGUCACCCUUUCUUCAUGAGGCCAGUAGGAGCGGCACUGAUCCUGAUCCCUUGGCCUGAGGCUGGGAGUCUUCAGUAUCAAUACAACCUCAUCCCCCAGAGCUGGUACAGAUUGAGCUCCUACAGGACAUGGGAGGAUCACAGAGAGGCGCCUGCCAUCUGCAGCCCAGCCUGGCAGAGGAGGGAUGCGGAUGGUUGGGAUUUUAGGAAGCAAAGAGGAGCAGAAUGGAGGACGAAUGGAAAAUGUGGACGGGAGCAGGAGAGCCUCGCCGAACAAGCACCUCCAUGAGGGUCUGGCCGAAGCAGGGGCUGUGGGCUGGGCAUUGGAGGAGCUGGAUGGAGGGGCGAUGGGAGAUCACAUCAGAAGUGCUCAGUGGUCACAGGGAGAGAAGGGGUUGAGGAUCAGUCUGAGGUCCCCAGCUUUUUGUGGCUGAUCCGUGUCCCCCAGACAGGUACGUGGACAUCCUGACUCCUGGUGCCUGUCAGUGUGACCUUAUUUAAAAAGAGGGCAUUUGUAUGGGGCGCCUGGGUGGCGCAGUCGGUUAAGCGUCCGACUUCAGCCAGGUCACGAUCUCGCGGUCCGUGAGUUCGAGCCC